CAAUAGCGUAUAUUAAAGUUGUUGCAGUUAAAAAGCUCGUAGUUGGAUUUGUGGCGUACGGUGGGUUCCGGGCACUUGUUGUCUGAGUAACUUGCUGUUGCCAUCCUUGGGUGGAACCUGUGUGGCAUUAGGUUGUCGUGCAGGGGAUGCCCAUCAUUUACUGUGAAAAAAUUAGAGUGUUCAAAGCAGGCUUAUGCCGUUGAAUAUAUUAGCAUGGAAUAAUGAGAUAGGACUUUUUUGCUAUUUUGUUGGUUUGCGCAAAGAGGUAAUGAUUAAUAGGGACAGUUGGGGGUAUUCGUAUUCCAUUGUCAGAGGUGAAAUUCUUGGAUUUUUGGAAGACGAACUACUGCGAAAGCAUUAACCAAGGAUGUUUUCAUUAA
rnacentral:rRNA from 1 species